AGGUGGGACGAAAUCCAACCAUGAGGCCAAUAUUUUCUUUUUCGAGAAUGAUGAGGCCAAGAUUUAGAACAGAAAAAGAUAAACAUAAACAAUCAGGGGAAGGUAGGGCUUGCAGUUGGAAAUUGUGCCUGCGAGGGUGCUAGGAGGUCAUGGGAAGCACGCCAGCAAUGCUGUCAGUCGAAUGUCCAAGCAAGCAUUGAUGCCAUCUGUGUCUGCAUAUUGCGGGGGACAACUUGCACCUCAGGCCCUCAGCUGCGUCCCACAAGCCGUCUAACGUCCUAAUUUACGGUUACUUUCUUACUUAUCCUGACCUAUCAUGUUUUCUGAUGGCGUCCCAAUUGGUACUACUGCAUUGGCUCGCGAGAAAGGCAACUAACACAAAGCCUUCUAAGGUUGUGAACAUGAAAGUAAUCUUUGCUACUGCUGCACUUGCUGGCGGGCCAUGAACAAAUAUGACAAUUGCGCAGAUUCAGAGCUUGCCUACUAGGACAUGCUGAUACAACUAUAUUCUAAAGAGUAUGGUGCAAGCCAAGGUGGGUCAUUUUGAGCAAACAUGUUCAGUCUGCCUUGACAAAUGGCCAUCGCAUCGUUUGCGGCACUUCUUGAUGGGAUCAGAGUGGCGACAGCAAAAAGAUCAAUAGUGGAUCCGUUGUCGGAGGAUGGAAAUAUCAUGUUUGUGCUCAACGACUUGGAAGGGAAGCUUGGGUACUGAUGAGCUGAGUUGAGAUGCGGAAGCAGCCUAGGUACUCAUGAGCUGAGCUGAGCUGAGAUGCGGAAAGACAAUCUUAGAACUAGGGCCAAGAGGUGUAUAUAAAGGGAACCAACAGAUAGAUUUGUAGCAUUUUUGGCUUCCUCUUUUCAUGCCCAAAAACCAUUUCCAA